rnacentral:rRNA from 1 species
GACGAACGCUGGCGGCGUGCUUAACACAUGCAAGUCGAACGGAAAGGCCCUGCUUUUGUGGGGUGCUCGAGUGGCGAACGGGUGAGUAACACGUGAGUAACCUGCCCUUGACUUUGGGAUAACUUCAGGAAACUGGGGCUAAUACCGGAUAGGAGCUCCUGCUGCAUGGUGGGGGUUGGAAAGUUUCGGCGGUUGGGGAUGGACUCGCGGCUUAUCAGCUUGUUGGUGGGGUAGUGGCUUACCAAGGCUUUGACGGGUAGCCGGCCUGAGAGGGUGACCGGCCACAUUGGGACUGAGAUACGGCCCAGACUCCUACGGGACGCAGCAGUGGGGAAUAUUGCACAAUGGGCGGAAGCCUGAUGCAGCAACGCCGCGUGCGGGAUGACGGCCUUCGGGUUGUAAACCGCUUUCGCCUGUGACGAAGCGUGAGUGACGGUAAUGGGUGAAGAAGCACCGGCUAACUACGUG